AAGGAUGAUGCGUGUGCAGAUUGUGGACAAGACAGGCGAUGCGUGCGCACGGCAGAAUGUUUCAAAUGUCUCCAUGGUGAUGUCACAACACCAUUAGCUGUCGUGGACUGCGGCAAUCCUGGUGUUAUAAUGGACGGUACCUUUAACUACAGCACCACAACUUACAGCUCCCAAGGUCAGAUUGUCUGCAACACCGGAUACAACUUCUCUCAAGUCAACAACACUAUUUCGUGUAGGGCAAACGGUACAUGGGACUGAGUAUCCGGAUCAUGUCAGGCUUUAAACUGUGGCCCCCCAAUGGAUAUCCCUAAUGGCUUCAGCCGCUACAACAGCACAACGUAUGGUUCGCUGUGCCAUCUGAGUUGUAACCCAGGC